GAAUCCACCAAUAAUGAAAUACCAGUUGGAGUAAAGAAAACAAAGUCUUCAAUCUUAUUGUUCCCAUUAAUAUGACUCCCAUCUUUCUACCCUUUUUCUGUCGCCAUCUCAACCUACUGUCUGCCUCUUCCCAAUUUUCCACACAACUCUCUCUCUCUCUCUCACACACACACACACACACACACACACACACACAAUUUAUGAAGAAAAUAGAUAUCCCCUAUUAUAUAUAUGGGGAAGCCCAUAAAUAUAUAUCGACAAAACCUACACCAAGCAUUGCAGCCUUCCAAGAAUUCAUUUGCUACACUAUUA
rnacentral:lncRNA from 1 species